rfam:Brachypodium distachyon strain Bd21 chromosome 3, whole genome shotgun sequence.
CUAUUAUUCCUCCGUCCAACAAAGGAUGUCUCAACUUUGACUAAAUUUAAAUGCAUCCAUACACUAAGUUAUGUCUAGAUACAUCCAAAUUUUGACAAACUUGAGACAUCUUUGUUGGACGGGGGGAGUACUUA